AGCGGCGGACGGGUGAGUAACACGUAGGCAACCUGCCCCUUGGACUGGGAUAACUACCGGAAACGGUAGCUAAUACCGGAUAAUUCCUCUUAGCUCCUGCUAAGAGGCUGAAAGGCGGAGCAAUCUGUCACCAAGGGAUGGGCCUGCGGCGCAUUAGCUAGUUGGUGGGGUAACGGCUCACCAAGGCGACGAUGCGUAGCCGACCUGAGAGGGUGAACGGCCACACUGGGACUGAGACACGGCCCAGACUCCUACGGGAGGCAGCAGUAGGGAAUCUUCCGCAAUGGGCGAAAGCCUGACGGAGCAACGCCGCGUGAGUGAUGAAGGUUUUCGGAUCGUAAAGCUCUGUUGCCAGGGAAGAACGUCUUUAAGAGUAACUGCUUAAGAAGUGACGGUACCUGAGAAGAAAGCCCCGGCUAACUACGUGCCAGCAGCCGCGGUAAUACGUAGGGGGCAAGCGUUGUCCGGAAUUAUUGGGCGUAAAGCGCGCGCAGGCGGCUGUUUAAGUCUGGUGUUUAAACCAUGGGCUCAACCUGUGGUCGCACUGGAAACUGGGCAGCUUGAGUGCAGAAGAGGAAAGUGGAAUUCCACGUGUAGCGGUGAAAUGCGUAGAGAUGUGGAGGAACACCAGUGGCGAAGCGACUUUCUGGGCUGUACUGACGCUGAGCGCGAAAGCGUGGGGGAGCAAACAGAUUAGAUACCCUGGUAGUCCACGCCGUAAACGAUGAGUGCUAGUGUAGGUUUCGAUACCUUGGGUGGCGAGUAACACAGUA
rnacentral:rRNA from 1 species